rnacentral:rRNA from 1 species
UAGGGAAUCUUCCACAAUGGACGCAAGUCUGAUGGAGCAACGCCGCGUGAGUGAAGAAGGUUUUCGGACCGUAAAGCUCUGUUGUUGGUGAAGAAGGAUAGAGGUAGUAACUGGCCUUUAUUUGACGGUAAUCAACCAGAAAGUCACGGCUAACUACGUGCCAGCAGCCGCGGUAAUACGUAGGUGGCAAGCGUUGUCCGGAUUUAUUGGGCGUAAAGCGAGCGCAGGCGGAAGAAUAAGUCUGAUGUGAAAGCCCUCGGCUUAACCGAGGAAUUGCAUCGGAAACUGUUUUCUUGAGUGCAGAAGAGGAGAGUAGAACUCCAUGUGUAGCGGUGGAAUGCGUAGAUAUAUGGAAGAAUACCAGUGGCGAAGGCGGCUCUCUGGUCUGCAACUGACGCUGAGGCUCGGAAGCAUGGGUAGCGAACAGGAUUAGAUACCCUGGUAGUCCAUGCCGUAAACGAUGAGUGCUAAGUGUUGGGAGGCUUCCGCCUCUCAGUGCUGCAGCUAACGCAUUAAGCACUCCGCCUGGGGGAGUACGACCGCAAGGUUG